GAUGAACGCUAGCGGCAGGCUUAAUACAUGCAAGUCGAGGGACAGCACAGGUAGCAAUACUGGGUGGUAACCGGCAAACGGGUGCGGAACACGUACACAACCUUCCUUUAAGUGGGGGAUAGCCCAGAGAAAUUUAGAUUAAUACCCCGUAAUAUAGUUGAAUGGCAUCAUUUGAUUAUUAUAGCUACGGCGCUUAAUGAUUGUUGUGCGGCUGAUUAGAUAGUUGGCGGGGUAACGGCCCACCAAGUCUACGAUCAGUAGCUGAUGUGAGAGCAUGAUCAGCCACACGGGCACUGAGACACGGGCCCGACUCCUACGGGAGGCAGCAGUGGGGAAUUUUGGACAAUGGGCGCAAGCCUGAUCCAGCAAUGCCGCGUGCAGGAAGAAGGCCUUCGGGUUGUAAACUGCUUUUGUCAGGGAAGAAAUCCUCUAGGUUAAUACCCUUGGGGGGAUGACGGUACCUGAAGAAUAAGCACCGGCUAACUACGUGCCAGCCGCCGCCGUAAUAC
rnacentral:rRNA from 1 species